rnacentral:rRNA from 1 species
UACGUAGGGUGCAAGCGUUGUCCGGAAUUAUUGCGCGUAAAGAGCUCGUAGGCGGUCUGUCGCGUCGGCUGUGAAAUCCCGAGGCUCAACCUCGGGUCUGCAGUCGAUACGGGCAAACUAGAGUAUUGCAGGGGAGACUGGAAUUCCUGGUGUAGCGGUGAAAUGCGCAGAUAUCAGGAGGAACACCGGUGGCGAAGGCGGGUCUCUGGGCAAUAACUGACGCUGAGGAGCGAAAGCGUGGGGAGCGAGCAGG